rnacentral:rRNA from 1 species
CUACCCUUGACAUGUGCGGAAUCCUGCAGAGAUGCAGGAGUGCCCGAAAGGGAACCGCAAUCACAGGUGCUGCAUGGCUGUCGUCAGCUCGUGUCGUGAGAUGUUGGGUUAAGUCCCGCAACGAGCGCAACCCUUGCCAUUAGUUGCUACAUUCAGUUGAGCACUCUAAUGGGACUGCCGGUGACAAACCGGAGGAAGGUGGGGAUGACGUCAAGUCCUCAUGGCCCUUAUGGGUAGGGCUACACACGUCAUACAAUGGCGCGUACAGAGGGUUGCCAACCCGCGAGGGGGAGCCAAUCCCAGAAAGCGCGUCGUAGUCCGGAUUGGAGUCUGCAACUCGACUCCAUGAAGUCGGAAUCGCUAGAAUCGCGGAUCAGCAUGUCGCGGU